ACAAAAUAAUAAUAACCCACAAUUGUGAAACGUUUUGGAAUAGAGGUCUGUACCCUUAAAUCCUGUAGAUAAAGGAGGCAUGUAGCUCCCAAUUUUCUUUGCCUGAGGUACAGGUAUGACUAUUUACUGCAGGGAACAUGAUCCAUAAAUGCUGAGACUUUAUUAGAAAUUGAAUUUGACCCAAAUUGUAUUACUGGCUUUUUGGUGAAAACUUGCAUGAUAGGAUUGAUAGUUGCUGGGUUUCCAACAAAUACUAAAAUUUGGAUCCUUGCCAGUACUUCUGUUCCUAAGGUAAUAUAUUUAAAAACCUGGUGUAGCAAACUUCUUCCUUUGCCUGUAACCUCUCACUUGGUUACCUUCAACUGCAAUCGUAGCUUCUAUUAAAAAACCUUUUGAAUUAUCAGAGGUGGUGAUAGGCACUAAUAACUAACAAGUAAUCUCUAAAUGCUCUAUCGUAAUAAUUAUAGCAGGAAUACAGUUGUGUGUCUUCUGGCUGAAGGUGAACUAGAUUCUUUCAGGUUGCCGUGAGGGGGACCAUUCAAGCACCCUGAGCCUGUUGGAGAAAAGAAGAGCUGCGAACUCAAAAGCCUAAUGCAGUCGUUCUCCGUGCUUCUACCUAGAGGGACGUCUCUUGUCGGGACACCACUGCAGGGGAGGCCCCUUCCUGUGCCAUCACCACACAAUAAGGUACAUCUUUUGGUGGGACAGCCAUCCUUGUUUUGUUCCAGCUCUUUUUUUUACAGACCUCACCUGUGCCGGAGGCAAAUCUGCUCCAUUGACAAGAGGCAGUGUCAGAGCUCUUGAUGCAUCAAGUGAACAUCUUCAGUGUAGGACUGAGAGGCACCUGCGUCUUGACUGCGCUGCUUUAGGUAACCGGCUGUUUUUGCUCCUGUGUCUGGAGGGGAGGGCUGCUGAAGACCCUAGUCUCUUCCAGGUGCAUCUCAGCGACACAAGAAAUAGAAUUUUGCAAGCCUUCAGGAAACUUAACGGCAAGUGAACUUCACACCUCACAAUUCAGUGAUCUUUUUCAGUACAAUCCUUUUGUGCUGGCUUCUCCAUUUCCCCCGCUUGAUCUCUUCACAGUUCUGUCCAAGAGCCCACCACACUCAGGUGAAGCCAGCUCUUCCUGCAGAAGUCAGACCAGCAGAAGGAACUUCCAGGCCCAUGAAUUCACACUUCAGAGGGACAAACAAAAAGGUGAGCAUAAAGGCAGAGUUUAACGACUGGAACCAGUCUCUGCAAAUUAAUGGCAGUCAACAUGGCACUCUGUGACUUAAACA